GCCUGGAACCUAAAUUUUUUUUCUUAAGUUGGUCUAAGUAGGCCUUUGGUCUGGCUUAAUAAGGUCCAGAACACCAAUCCACAUGCUUGGCACAUGAUGGAGGAGAAGAAGACUCCUGAUGGGAGUCCUCUCCCCUUCCAACUCUGUCGGACAUAGGGAGACCAGGGCCAUCCAAAAUUGAGCUAGAAAACCCUAAAUCUUGGCUAUAAAUGGUAGA
rnacentral:lncRNA from 1 species